rnacentral:rRNA from 1 species
UGGGCAACCUGCCCCUGGCUCUGGGAUAACUCCAAGAAACCGGGGCUAAUACCGGAUACUCCGGUCGAACCGCAUGGCUCGAUCGGGAAAGCUCCGACGGUCUGGGAUGGGCCCGCGGCCUAUCAGCUUGUUGGUGGGGUAACGGCCUACCAAGGCGGCGACGGGUAGCUGGUCUGAGAGGACGACCAGCCACACUGGAACUGAGAUACGGUCCAGACUCCUACGGGAG